CGUUUCAAGCCCUGGGCUUUUGGGGAACACUUCUGUUUUUGAUCUUCCUUGAGCCAAGUUGGGAACAGGAACAAACAUAUAUCAUUUCAACCCCAAUUGUCUUCCGAGUUGGAGCUCCUGAAAAUGUUACAGUCCAAGCCUAUGGCUACACCGAGGCAUUUGACACAACCAUCUCUGUGAAAAGCUAUCCUAAUAAAAAUGUUAAUUACUCUUCGGGCACUGUUGAAUUAUCACCAGAAAAUAAAUUCCAAAACUCUGCUAUCUUAACAAUUCAGGCCCAAGAGUUGUCUGAAGAACAAAACUGGUUCUCAAAUGUGUAUUCGGAAGUCGUGUCAAAGCAUUUUUCAAAAUUAGAAAUAAUGCCAAUCGUCUAUGACAACAGCUCUCUCUUUGUUCACACUGACAAGCCUGUGUACACUCCAGAACAGCCUGUGAAGGUUGCCGUCUACUCAGUGGAUGAUGACCUAGAGCCUGUCACCAGAACAACAGUCUUGACUUUCAUAGUAUUUACUUCUUCUCGAUCACUCGGGACACUUUCCUCACAGAUGUACGGACUGAGAAGAGCAGUUCUCAGGAGACAGCACUCUCUUGGAGGGCUGCCUGCCCUAAGAACUAACUCUUCAUAAAUGCUUGCCUGCAGUUCUGUGUUUCCAUCCAGCAUUGAAGCCACAUGGCUCUCCUGUCCAGUGUGGGCUUCUUUCAACCCCAGCUUCCAGAAUCGUGGGCUAAAAUAAGUCUGUGUUCUUUAAAGCUUACCUGGCACCAGAUACUCUUUUAUAACAACAAAAAAUAAACUAAGGCAGGGGUGGAUUUUCA
rnacentral:lncRNA from 14 species